rnacentral:tmRNA from 1 species
GGGGGCGUACUGGUUUCGACAGGGGUAGGUAGGGUCAAACAAGCGAGCCGGGAUUCCAUCAGCCCGUUAAUACGGUGGAAAAAAACAAACGCAAACGAAGAAUACGCUUUAGCAGCUUAAAUUGCUAACGUCCUUUUUAUGUAAUCCUGCGGCAUAAAAUAGGGCGUCACUUAGCGGGAUACCUGCGGUUUGUCUCCCGGAAAACCGUUAGGGAAAUUUAUCGGGAUAGCUUUGAGGGCAGCUUGUCUGUAAGCGGUCAGAAAAGCGAAACUUUAAACUACAGACUGCGCUCGGAGAAAAUUUGGCAAUAAUACUUUUGGACAGGGGUUCGACUCCCCUCGCCUCCACCA